AUCCGUGAAAUGUGGAUCUCAAUCCACGUUGGCAGCCAUGUGCUAAACAUGCCACCCUUCUAGAAACCUUAUUUUGACAUGUGAAAAAUAAAUUUUAUCCUAAGUAGCACGUGAUUCAUGUGUGUACACUCAUAAUAGGCUAUAUGCCGUGCCAAACAUGUGGGAAUGACAUUCUUCUAGCCUUUUCCUUCCUUGGACCAUCUUGACUCUUGAUCUUGAUCUCCUGGCUUCCAUUCAAAACAUGUGAAAAAUAUCUCACCUUCUAGUGUUGGCUUGUUAAGUUCCUACUGUAGUUGCCGAGCCAUCUGUCUUGUUAUAGGACCUGGAUGCAUCCUGCUAGGACCCCGCAUAUCAUCUCCUCCCUCUUGAGAAGGAUUUUUCCUCAAAUCAGAGAGACAUUCUCUUCCUCAAAAUCAUAGCCUGCAAAAGGUCUAAGGUUAGAUAUAUUAAAGGUAGAAUGGACUCCAUACUCUGGCGGAAGAUCGAUUUGAUAAGCAUUGUCAUUUAUCUUCCGCACAACUCUAAAAGGUCCAUCUCCUCGAGGAUUAAGUUUGGAUUUUCUUAUUUGAGGAAACCUUUCCUUUCUAAGAUGAAUCCAAACUAGAUCACCUUCAUUGAAGAUUAACUCUUUUUUACCCUUAUUGUGUUUCUUGGCAUAUUUCUCAUUUUGUUGUUGAAUUUGAACUCUUACCCUUUGAUGUAAUUCUUUGAUAAACUUAGAUUUGGAUACCCCUUCUUGAUGAAAAAAGUCAACAGAAGUUGGAAGAGGUAUUAAAUCCAUAGGAGUCAAAGGGUUGAAUCCAUAAACAACUUCAAAAGGAGAAAUUUUAGUAGUUCCAUGAACUACUCUAUUGUAGGCGAACUCUACAUGAGGAAGAUAAUCAUCCCAAGAUUUGUCAUUUCCCUUGAGGACUACCUUAAUAAUGUAGAAAGAGAUCUAUUUACUACUUCAGUUUGACCAUCUGUUUGAGGAUAGCAAGUAGUAGAAAAAGAUAACUUAGUCCCUAAUCGAGACCAUAAGGUUCUCCAAAAGUGACUAAGAAAUUUAGUAUCUCUAUCCGAAAUGAUGACUUUAGGUAGACCAUGAAGUUUCACCACAUCUCUAAAGGAUAGCUUUGCAAUGUUGCUUGCAUCAUCUAUUUUGUGGCAAGGUAUAAAAUGAGCCAUUUUGCUAAAUCUGUCCACUACCACAAAUAUAUAAUCAAAACCCCUAACAGUCUUAAGAAGUCCUAAUACAAAAUCCAUACUGAUUUCUUCCCAAGGGGUGGAAGCAACAUGCAAAGGAGUGUAAAGUCCAUGAGGCAUUGAUUUAGAUUUUGAUUCCAAACAAGUGAUACACUUAAAACAAUGCCUUUGAACAUCCUUUCUCAUGUGAGGCCAAAAGAAUUUUUCCUUUAACAUGCCAAGAGUUUUUUCUACCCCAAAAUGUCCCAUUAAUCCUCCCUCAUGUGUCUCCUUGACAAGGAGUUUCCUAUGUGAUCCUUGAGGAAUACAAAUUUUUCCCUCUUUAAAAAGGUACCCCUCUCUCACAUAAAAACCGCCUUGAGAUUUGUUGAGACAUUCCUCAUACAUAUGAGAAAAUUCAAGAUCUUGUGAAUACAAUUCAAUGAUGUUAUCAAACCCAAGAAUUUGAGCUCCUAAUGUGGCUAAAAGAUUAAUUUUCCUUGAUAAGGCAUCCGAUACCACAUUGGAUUUUCCUUUCUUGUAUUUGAUAACAUAAGAGAAUUGUUCAAUGAAUUCUAACCACUUAGCAUGCCUCUUUUGCAACUUGUGUUGACUCUUCAAAUAUUUGAGUGAUUCAUGAUCACUCUGAAUGAUAAACUCCUUGGAAAUAAGGUAAUGUUCCCAAGUUUGAGGAGCCUGCACAAGAGCAUAAAGUUCCUUAUCAUAGGUAGGAUAGUUACAAGAAGCCCCAUGAAGUUUUUCACUAAAGUAGGCAAUGGGGUCUCCUUCUUGUAAUAAUACUGCACCUAUUCCAUGUCCUGAAGCAUCACAUUCUAACUCAAAAGUUUUUGAAAAGUUAGGAAGAGCUAGAAUGGGUGCUUGGGUGAGCUUUUCUUUGAGUAGCUCAAAAGUCUUUUGUUGCUUGUCUCCCCAAAUAAAUGUAACAUCCUUUUUCACCAACUCAUUGAGAGGUGAAGCUAGACUAGAGAAGUUAGGCACAAAUCUUCUAUAAAAACUUGCGAAUCCAUGAAAACUCCUAACUUCUCCUACAUUCUUUGGAGGAGGCCAAUCUUGAAUAGCCUUUAUUUUCUUAGGGUCAACAUGAACCCCUUUUUUAUUGACCACAAAUUUUAGGAAAAUGACGCUAUUAACACAAAAAGUGCAUUUGUUAAGAUUUGCAAACAAUUUGUUGGUUCUAAGAAUUGUUAAAACAACUCUCAUUUGUUUUUCAUGAUUGUGCAAAUCUUGACUAUAGACCAAAAUGUCAUCAAAAUAAACAACUACAAACUUCCCAAUGCAAUUCCUUAGAACAUGAUUCAUAAGUCUCAUGAAUGUACUUGGAGCAUUUGUAAGACCAAAAGGCAUCACUAGCCACUCAUACAAUCCAAACUUAGUCUUAAAAGCAGUUUUCCAUUCAUCUCCUUCUUUAAUUCGAAUUUGAUGAUAUCUACUCUUAAGAUAUAUUUUUGAAAAAAUUUGAGCCCCAUGUAAUUCAUCCAACAUAUCAUCAAGUCUAGGGAUGGGAUGUUUAUAUUUUAUUGUGAUGUUGUUGAUAGCCCUACAAUCAUAACACAUGCGCCACUUUCCAUCCUUCUUUGGUACCAACAACACAAGUACAACACAUGGACUUAGACUCUUUUGAACCAAUCCUUUAUCUAGCAACUCUUGAACUUGUGACUCAAUCUCUUUUGUUUCUUGGGGGUUAGUCCUAUAGGCAGACCUAUUAGGAAGAGUUGCCCCUGGAAUGAAAUCAAUUUGAUGUUCUAUUCCUCUUAUAGGUGGAAGCCCAAUUGGGAUUUCUUUGGGAAAUAGAUCAUUAAAUUCCUUCAAAAGUUUUUGUAUUGGAAGAGAUAUAGUAGAAGUCUUAGAAUCACUAGAUGUGCAUGUGAGUNUUCCUUGACAAAGAAGGAGGUAUGAAGGUUGCUCAACUUGAAGUGUAUUGAUUAAAGUCUUUUUGUUUAAAAGGACUUCAUGUUGAGUAACCUUGGAAGGAACACUAGACUCACAACCCUCUUUCUUUUGUUUUGAUCCUUUUUUUCUAUUUUGUUCCUUUUCUUGAUCCCUUGUGGAUUUCAUUUGUGCUUGAUCUUGAGCCACCUGGGCAGGAGUCAAAGGAUGAAGCAUAAACUUCUUAUCCUUUUGAUGCACUGUAAUUGUAUUGGUUAGACCAUGGUGUAUAGUAUUAUGAUCAAAUUGCCAUGGUCUCCCCAAUAACACAUGGCAAGCUUCCAUGGGAAUUACAUCACAAAAAACUUCAUCUUUGAAGUUCCCUAUGGAAAAAGUCAGCUUGACUUGAUUCUUGACUAUUAUAUCCCCAUCUUCAUUUAGCCAAUGAAGUUUGUAAGGUUUUGGAUGGGGUAUCACAUCAAGUUUCAACUUCUCAACCAAUCUUGUACUACAAAAAUUGCAACAAGAACCACUAUCAACAAUGAGAGAACAAUGAUUUUCUUGAAUUUUGCAUCUUGUAUGAAAGAUGUUCUCUCUUUGUGAUAGAUGUUCAAGACUUGGUUGACUACUAAGCACCCUUCUCACCAUGAGAAGUUGACCAUCAUCAGCAUACACUUCCUCUUCUUUUUCUGUCUCGCCCUCACUUUCACUAGUAGGGGUGUAACUUUCACUGCUAUAAAUGUCCUUUCCUUUUAAAAUAAUGUUUCUUUUAGUAGGACAUUGAGCAACCACAUGACCCCUUCCUAGACACUUGAAACAUUUGAUUUCACUUGUCCUAUGGUUUGAAGAGGACUCUUGUUUGGGUUUCUCAACAAUUUUGGCUAGAGGUUUAAAUGGCUCUUUUUCUAUAAAACUCUUUCUUUCAAAAGGUUGAACUUGAGCUCUCUUGUGAGAGGAUUUUCUCAAAUUUUGUUGUUCUACCUUGAUACACAUUUGGACAAGACUAUCCAAAUCUAUAUAAGGUAAAAGUUCAACCUUAUCUUGAAUUUCAUAAUUGAGCCCACUCAAAAAUCUAGCCAUUGUGAAUUCAUAUGUUUCUUCUAUCCUUGCCCUUAUCAUAUACAACUCCAUCUUUUGUCUAUAUUGUUCUACAGACAUAGAAUUUUGUUGGAGUCUUUGGAGCUUGUCCAUAAGCUCCCUAUGAUAGUAGGAAGGAAUAUGUCUCCUUCUAAGGGCAGUGAUCAAGUCAUUCCAAUAUCUUAUUGGAGGAUUUUGGUGACGCCUUCUUUCUUCUACUAUGGCAGUCCACCAAUACAUGGCAUACCCUUGAAAGCUAANGGUAGCUAGNGGAACCUUUCUUUCUUCACUUACUUGGUGGCAAGCAAAAAGUUGCUCNACCUUCAUUUCCCAAUCUAGAAAGGCUUCAACAUCAUCUUUUCCAUGAAAAUGAGGCAAGUUUACAUUGACUUCUCUAGGGGGAGGAGGUUCUUGAAUUUCCCUCCUAUGUCUUCUAAAAGAAUAGUCCCCAUCAUAAUCUCCCAUUCUAAAAUUCUCUACCUCAUGGUGAGAAUCUCCACUUCUACUUCCCCUCAUUCUCCCUUGCUCAUCUCUCAUGACUCUCAACUCAUCUUGAAUUAUGGUGAUUUGUCUUUCCUUGUCUUGUUGAGCAUAAUCCAUCUUUCUUUCAGUGUCAAUUCUCCAUUGAGUUAGCUCUCUAAGUUGUCUUGAAAUAUCUUCGAGAGUAACUUGUUCCUCAGAAUCACUAACUCUUGGAGAUUGAUUUGUUGACAUUUUGUGAUUCUAAAAGUUUUCUUGUGUUUCAACUUUACUUAGGUUUCACCCAAGAACAAAUUCCAGGUAAGGGAGGUGAACCACUAGGGUUGCUUAAGAACCAAGCCUUUUCCUUGCCAAAAAUGUUCUAGGCUACUGACUUAGUAGUUGUUACUCCAAGAUUACUUCUAAUAUCACAAAAGAAGACUCAAAAGAAAAGCAAAAACAAAGUAAACAAAGAAUUUAGGACUCUAAUGCCGGACUCUAAACGAAUUUCCUAAACGCAAAAUUAAAGACAAAUUACAAAUGGAAAGACUUAAAGAAAAUGGAAAUGUAAAGGUGAGGUCUCCUAGGUGAGGCUUAGACUUUGGAUUUAAGACACACUCACUGCCUACCGAUUUUAGGUUAUGAGACUUUAAGUCAAGUUAACAAAUGAGGGAAGAACACUUAUGAGCUCUUCCCCUUCACUUGCUUGAAAUGACCCUUUAAAAUACAAGAAAGAAAUGAACAAAUACAAAAUUAAACAAGGUAACAAGAUGAUAAGAUAACAAGGAAGGGAAUUGACAAUGCAACUCUAGCUUCUCUCAAGAAAUUUCUGGCUGUGUAAUGUGCCAAAUGCAAGUCUCACAUUUUCAAUGCAGUGAAGUUUGGAACAUUGCAGCAGUGAAAAUUAACUUCGGACAGUUCUGCUGCAGUUUCAGCAGUAUGACAGCAAUACUAGCUCCAUUUCUUGUCACUUUGCCUUGUUCUUCUAAUCACUUCUCCACUCCUUAAGAUGCUACCGAGACAGGAAAUUUCUGAAGCAAACCACCCUUCCACGAAAGCACCUCUAGCAGUACAUAAUCAACCCAGCAGUGAGUGAAUUUAGUGACCAGAAAAUAUAAUCUCUGCUGCUGAACCAGACUGCAAUACUCACCCUUUUAUCAAACAAGUGGUAUGCAAGAAUGCCAACAAGUGAAAUUAAAGCAAUAAAAGGUAUAUAAACAUGUUAGCACGACAAAGAGAAGCUUAGGAAUGGUUCUAACACAGAUUAACAAAGCAAGAAACAAAAUCAAACUGCAAUUGAAUCGAAUUUAGAAACGAUUGAAAUUCUAUCCAAUCUGUUUGUGAAAAUGCCUGAAUGAAGACAGAUUUUGGUGCACAAUUUUGCCAAUUUUUUCCUGCACUAGUCAGUCAGCUCUUUCUUUUUUUGUAAUUUCGAUCUCUUUUGAUUAUACAAUCUGUUUUGUUAUAUUUAGUAAACUUUGACCAAGCUCUUGCUACACUUUUAUGGCAUCUCAAUGCACCACACAAAUCAGAUUUUGAAUGCCAAAAUUAUGUAGUUUGCACUAAACAAAGAAAGCUAAUUCUGGUGGUUUGUUUAGUGAAAUUUAUAGAAACUGGCUUUUAGUGUAAUUUCUCUGCAUAACCAAGUUUUAAUGACCAAAGUAAACUUGUGGACACUAGCUUUUGAAGCUAAAUUCAAUCCAUACAGAAUUGGACUGUUCGAAACUCAAUUAUGUAGUAGAAUUGGCUUACUUUUCACAACUCAACCAACCAGAAUUUGCUACAAUGAACCAAAUGACCUUUGGAUGAACUUUUGCAUCCAUAUUUAUCAUUUAAAACUUGAAGAAAGCUUUGGAAUCAGUUUUAAAGAUGUCCAACAAUGAUCUACUACUAAACCAGAUUGAAAACACAAAAAAAUUUGAAAAGCAAAGAGGUGCAGUUCGGCCAACUGCAGAUCUGACUCAUGUGAGAUUUCUAAUGAUGUUAUCCAACCUUUUACAGCAUCAGUUCAAUGUUAACAUGGUAUAUAUCAUGAAUUAUAUAGAAAACUCACUUAGCACAGAAUAAAUAAUUGCAAAUUCACUUUGAAUGACUGCAACGAGUAAAACAACGCUUGCAUAAACUCUGAACUACAAAUCUGAAUUGUUUAACACAAAUUAUGCCUUGAGCUCAUCAUUACGAUUGCCAUUGCUCUUUAAUUGUGCAGAGUUGUUGAACUUCAUUCAGAUUUAACAAUGGCAAAACACACAGUUUUCAAAAGAAAACAAAAUUGAUGAACAAAACAGCAACAAAUUUUUUUACAUGACAGUACAUGACAGAAUUGAUUUUUCAAAAUAAAAUGACUUAACCAAAGGAUUGACCGAAUAAAAUGAAGAAACAACACUCAAUGAUAGGCUAGCACACAAGAAAACACAUAAACAAAACCUAUUGAGCAAGAAACUGAAUGGAACAGUACCAGAAUCAAUUACAAACAAAGAAGCAAAGUCUGUGACAGUUAAACAAAAUGAAAAAAAAAUGACUUAGCUCACGGUUGCCUCUUGAACCAUGCUCUGAAUACCAAAUGAUACGUCCAGCCUUGGAAGAUAGUCCAGAUCCAUCAGCUCAGGCAAUGGAACAGUGUCGGUGGAAAGGAAUUUGGAGAGGAAACCGAAUGUGUGAGUGGCAGCAGCAAAUCUGAGUGAGUAUGGAGUUGAUUUAGUAGCAGCGGAGGUUAUGGAUAAUGGUUGAAGUUGAUGAAUGAAGUGCUUAUGGUGGUAGGGAUGCUAGCUCAGAAAGCCCUCUCUAGGAAGGAAGCUAGAGGAGAAGGAAAAGAAGCACAAUUGAGUGACUCUCGGAGGAGAAAAGCUGGAAAAUACAUCAGCAAUUAAUCUCUCAAUUUCCAAAAGUGUCAUACAAAAGUUGCCUUGGGGUUUUUAUACAACUCCCUUCGGCCUUGGCAAUGCAAACCAUCAGAUCCGUGAAAUGUGGAUCUCAAUCCACGUUGGCAACCAUGUGCUAAACAUGCCACCCUUCUAGAAACCUUAUUUUGACAUGUGAAAAAUAAAUUCUAUUCUAAGUGGCACGUGAUUCAUGUGUGUACACUCAUAAUAGCCUAUAUGUCGUGCCAAACAUGUGGGAAUGACAUUCUUCUAGCUUUUUCCUUCCUUGGACCAUCUUGACUCUUGAUCUUGAUCUCCUGGCUUCCAUUCAAAACAUGUGAAAAAUAUCUGACCUUCUAGUGUUGGCUUGUUAAGUUCCUGCUGUAGUUGUCGAGCCAUCUGUCUUGUUAUAGGACCUGGAUGCAGCCUGUUGGGACGCCGCGUAUCACUUUGUUUCCUAUAAUAACAGCUAAAGAAGGUGUUCUUCUAGACCUUGACCCAGUAAAAUUAAAAUGGGUCCUUCUCUAAUGCCCAAGCAUUCUCAUUGGCUUCCAUUCAUCUGCACCCA
rnacentral:lncRNA from 1 species